rnacentral:sRNA from 1 species
CUUGUGACAAGGCUCCAACCUCAGGCCCUUGAGGGACAAAGCCAGCUCUCUCCUCCACAACUGUCCCUCGACUGCUUCCUACCCCACCCUACCCUCACUGUCUUUGUCACCCUACCCCACAGCCUUCCUCUCCGGUUCUGGGUGAACAUCCUGAAGAACCCCCAGUUUGUCUUUGACAUCGACAAGACAGACCACAUCGACGCCUGCCUUUCAGUCAUCGCGCAGGCCUUCAUCGACGCCUGCUCCAUCUCUGACCUGCAGCUGGGCAAGGAUUCGCCAACCAACAAGCUCCUCUACGCCAAGGAGAUUCCUGAGUACCGGAAGAUCGUGCAGCGCUACUACAAGCAGAUCCAGGACAUGACGCCACUCAGCGAGCAAGAGAUGAAUGCCCAUCUGGCCGAGGAGUCGAGGAAAUACCAGAAUGAGUUCAACACCAAUGUGGCCAUGGCAGAGAUUUAUAAGUACGCCAAGAGGUAUCGGCCGCAGAUCAUGGCCGCGCUGGAGGCCAACCCCACGGCCCGGAGGACACAACUGCAGCACAAGUUUGAGCAAGUGGUGGCUUUGAUGGAGGACAACAUCUACGAGUGCUACAGUGAGGCCUGAGACACAUGGAGAGUUGGUCAGGCUGCUGCUGGGAGAAAUGGACGCCCACUGGGCCUCAACUUGAUCUUCUACCCCGUGCCUGUGACUCAGACUGGGAAAUACUGAGCAGAGACGGCUGGGGCGGGGGCAGGAGGAGGGGCUGCUCUCUGAGACAGGGGCGCCCCCGCCUUGACCCCUGGGCACCUCCAUCCCCUCCCACCUGUCCCCAGAUCAGUCUCCGGGAUGGAGGCCAGAGAGCUGGUCAGGCUCCCCCGUCUGCCCAGCACGGCCUGCACUGUGCCCACCCACUUGCUCCACAACGUCCAGUUGGUCCUGCUGCCAAGAGCCCCGUGCAUCCAGGCAGCCAAGCACAAACUGGGGGAGAGGAGGCCGCCAGCCCGGAGGCUGCAGCCCAGAAACUCUACCUCAUCCACACUGGUGCAGGGAGCCCUCCUUGAACUGACCUUCGAUUGGUUUCUGCUUCAACUACCAAAAUGUUAUCUCCACUUCCCCCUCACCCAUAGAGGAUCCUGGCCACAGACAGUUUCAAGUAGUGUCAGAUUUUUGUUGCUUGGGCGGCUGUUGGUAGAGUGGGCAGUGCCCGCGCCAUGGGGUGCUCUGUGGGCUUCUCCAGGAGCAGGGAGGGUGGAGGGGAGGGAUGGGGGGCACAGGAGCUGGGAGCCCCGUCUCCAGGAAAAGGAGAGGGGUUAAGAUGCACCGAGGCUGUAGCUGGGCUACUUGAUCUUGCUGAAAGUGUUUCUAAAGAUAGCACCACUUCUUUUUUAAAGCUUUUAUAUAUUAAAAAACGUAUCAUGCACCAACUGUGAAUAGCUGCCGCUUGCGCAGAGGACCCGGGGAGGGGUCCCGAGAGGCUCCCCAUGCAACACUGGAAAUGACUGUUCCAGAGAGCGGGCAGACCUGGCAGAGCACCCCUGGCGCCUGAGACCACCACCCAUUCCGUUCCUGCCAGAAACGACCCUCUGUGGCCGAUGGGCCAUGCGGGCCCCUCGCAGCCAACUCAGCCAGUGUUGGGACUGGCUCAGAGCCCAUGGGGGCUGGAGGGGGGCAGCUGGGACUCUGGAAUCUUCUUUAUAAUAAAAGCCUUAUGGACAAACCUA